GCUUUGCUCAUUCUCACUGGACCUAGCUUUCUUUGAGUUGAGCAACACAAGCCGAAUUGUCUUCAAAUAUUUUCGUCGGCUUUUUCUCGUUGACAAUUUGUUUGAUUAUUGUAUGUGGUAACUCAUUGACCGAAGCCACACACAUUCUCGACAUGCUUUGUGAAGCGCAAUAGUCUCUGCAUGAUUCGAAGAUGUUGCAACCAGAGUUUGUUUCUGGUACCGCCAAGAGAUCGCGGUUCCACCAAUUGUAAAACCAUAUCCGGUUUACCUUCGAUUUUAUAAAUGGCAUGUAUCUGCAAAACCAUACCAAACUCGGGGUUUCUAGGUAAACCAAUCCUGAAUCAAUACGUACCUUCGAGAGAACUGACAUGUUCUCGACGCCAUUCUAAUUUUCAUAAAUAUGAAAUGAGCUGUAUCUUGCAAAGACAUUAGUGUCUAAAACUAUAUUUUAUCAAAUACAACUUGCAAGACAUAUAAGCUCACAAAUGCUUUAUUACCAUUAGCAUCUC